rnacentral:tRNA from 5 species
GGUUUCGUGGUGUAGUUGGUUAUCACACCAGUCUAACACACUGGUGGUCCCCGGUUCGAGCCCGGGCGAAAUCA